GUGACCGUUGUCUAACUUUAACCGGGUCGUCAGAGAGAAAUAAUCCAAGACUUGUUUAUUAUCAUCCAUAGGAAUUUGGGGAAGCAGCUGAAGCUUUCUGCAGGAAGCAUGACAACUGACACUACUCUGAUUUGUGAACAAUCUAAGAGGAGGAAACGGAUACCAGCAGGUGAUGAAAUCAGCAACAGUGAGUGGACAGAUGAUUGGAGCAGAUGAAGACUGACAAGAAGCAUCAGAAACGUCCACCCACUGGUGGUGAAGCUGCAGGAGGAAAACCACCAGCUCCUCUUUUCCAACCCUUAAUGAACCGCUGAGGUCCAGCCCCAGUCAAUCUUGAACAGGAAGUCCACGCUGAUGCUGAAAGACUCAGACUGGAGGUGGUAAAUGAGCAUCAAUGCUGAAGAUUUUCACAAUAAAAGAGCCAGACUCAAAUGGUAAAUUAAAGGGAUAGGCAACCCUGGUC